rnacentral:rRNA from 1 species
UAGGGAAUCUUCCACAGUGGACGAAAGUCUGAUGGAGCAACGCCGCGUGAGUGAAGAAGGUUUUCGGAUCGUAAAACUCUGUUGUUAGAGAAGAACGUACUUGGUAGUAACUGGCCAGGUAGUGACGGUAUCUAACCAGAAAGCCACGGCUAACUACGUGCCAGCAGCCGCGGUAAUACGUAGGUGGCAAGCGUUAUCCGGAUUUAUUGGGCGUAAAGCGAGUGCAGGCGGUUUCUUAAGUCUGAUGUGAAAGCCUUCGGCUUAACCGAAGAAAUGCAUUGGAAACUGGGGAACUUGAGUGCAGAAGAGGAGAGUGGAACUCCAUGUGUAGCGGUGAAAUGCGUAGAUAUAUGGAAGAACACCAGUGGCGAAGGCGGCUCUCUGGUCUGUAACUGACGCUGAGGCUCGAAAGCGUGGGUAGCAAACAGG